GGGAAUAUGGCUUACUGGUAGAGUGCUUGCCUAGCAUGCAUGAAGCCCUGGGUUCGAUUCCUUAAUACCA
rfam:Dipodomys ordii contig_6824, whole genome shotgun sequence.